rnacentral:rRNA from 1 species
CUACGGGCGGCAGCAGUGAGGAAUAUUGCACAAUGGGGGGAACCCUGAUGCAGCAACGCCGCGUGGAGGAUGACGCAUUUCGGUGUGUAAACUCCUUUUAUAUGUCAAGAACAUGACGGUAGCAUAUGAAUAAGCACCGGCUAACUCCGUGCCAGCAGCCGCGGUAAUACGGAGGGUGCAAGCGUUACUCGGAAUCACUGGGCGUAAAGGACGCGUAGGCGGGUUGGAAAGUCAGGUGUGAAAUCCUACAGCUUAACUGUAGAACUGCACUUGAAACUUCUAAUCUAGAGGAUGGGAGGGGGAGAUGGAAUUAGUGGUGUAGGGGUAAAAUCCGUAGAUAUCACUAGGAAUACCUAAAGCGAAGGCGAUCUCCUGGAACAUUACUGACGCUAAGGCGUGAAAGCGUGGGGAGCAAACAGGAUUAGAUACCCCGGUAGUC